UACGUAGGGUGCGAGCGUUAAUCGGAAUUACUGGGUUUAAAGGGUGUGUAGGCGGACUUUUAAGUCAGGGGUGAAAUCCCGAGGCUCAACCUCGGAACUGCCUUUGAUACUAUUGGUCUUGAAUGUUGUUGAGGUGGGCGGAACGGGUCAUGUAGCGGUGAAAUGCAUAGAUAUGACCCGGAACACCGAUUGCGAAGGCAGCCCGCUAAGCAACUAUUGACGCUGAGGCACGAAAGCGUGGGGAUCAAACAGG
rnacentral:rRNA from 1 species